CCUUGAUGACCAUCAAACAUUGUUACUUUGGCGGGCCGUGGUUUUGCCCCGCCGGCUUCGGUCAGCGAGUGCCCGCCGAAGGUUUUUCAAACUCUUGCUCGAACAAACUUUGUCUGAAUUUUUGAAAAUGAAUGCAGCUAAAAACUUUCAACAACGGAUCUCUUGGUUCUGGCAUCGAUGAAGAACGCAGCGAAAUGCGAUAAGUAAUGUGAAUUGCAGAAUUCAGUGAAUCAUCGAAUCUUUGAACGCAUAUUGCGCCCUCUGGUAUUCCGGGGGGCAUGCCUGUUCGAGCGUCGUUAUCAUCCCUCGAGCCUCCCCUUUGGGGUCGGCACGGUCUUGGGAGGUCGUUUCCGCCCCGGCGGAGGCGCCCCCGAAAACGAGCGGCGGUUCGGCGAGAAUCCCAGCGCACUAAAACUUCAAAAAAGUCUCGCUGAUGGACCCUCUCCCCGGCCGGCCGGCCAACCCCACAUUGCCCGGGCAGCGGCAUGUUAGCAACCGAUCGACCUCGGAUCAGGCAGGAAUACCCGCUGAACUUAAGCAUAUCAAUA
rnacentral:rRNA from 1 species